AAGACUAUAGACCUGCGGAGUACCUGCGGAAGGAUCAUUAAUGAAUACUAGGACGCUCUUUUUAGAGGUCCGACCUUCAUUUUCCUUACACUGUGAACCAAAAUUUUUCCACACAUCUUUAAACACAUCAGUUUUAAGAAUGUAACAGUCUCUUAAAUGAGCAUAAAAUUAUAAAAACUUUUAACAAUGGAUCUCU
rnacentral:misc_RNA from 1 species